ensembl:lncRNA
GGAAGAAACCUCUUUUGGGGCUGUUUGAAGGCUAUCACAGUGCUAAGAGCUUUUCAUAUGCUCUUAUCUUAACCCUGUGUUACUGGAAAAAACCAGCCACCCACACCCAUUCCCUCUCCCCUACUCACCAGAUAAGACCUGGGAGGAAAAGAGCCGUGUUUCUCAGAAGUACAUCAUGGGAAACGCGGGGCUGGAAGAAGCACGAGCUGGAAUCAAGAUUGCUGGGAGAAAUAUCAAUAACCUCAGAUAUGCAGAUGACACCACCCUUAUGG